UGAAAACGCGUUUCUCUUUUGACUAUAGUAACCCUGAGUUACCCCUUUCCUUUUCCCCUCCCUCUCUAGCUUCUGAAAAGAAAACCUAGAAAAUCAAGCUUUCACCAUUCGUCGGCGGGCCGGCCGCUGCUCACCGCUACCAGUCUCCUCCUUCCGGCGGAGCUUCCUUUGGUCUUUGUUUUGGUGCUGGCGGUAAGCGAGUCACUUUUGGCUUGAAACGAUGCUGGAAAAAAUCCCACAUCCGAGCAACCUCUUUUGUUCCCCUUGAUCUUGAUCUCUUAAAAGUGCUUGGGGUUCCCGAAGCAGCUCCGGAGAGGAUCCGAAUACAGAUCUUUGCCAUGUCCUGCGACCGUUUGUGGUCACCGCAAUGUCUUCCUUCCCUUUUGCACAAAGCUCACCUCUAUGAUCUUGUCGCCGAUUUCGUCCUGGGAUAUGACGCGCUGCUUUAAGUUCUGUGAGGCCGCCGAAGGAAAUCCGACGGCGGGGUCCUCUUACGUUUCUUUUGUUGUCGGGUUCCGGAUCCCGGGUGUUGUUUAGGAGCUCCGGUUUGGGUUGCGGCGGGUUCUCCGAUAAAGCGCUUAGCAGUACGAAAAAGGAAAAGGCAUCGAGGGGCCCAUACGAAUAUUUCGCAGAUUUUAUUUAUAUUCGGUGAAUGAUAAGCUCAAACUACCUUAAAUCAGUCAAUGUGCUUAUUAUGAUACGUACUAGAACUUUUCA